CCCUUAGAUGUUCUGGGCCGCACGCGCGCUACACUGGUCGAUGCAACGAGUUUCUUUCCUUGGCCGACAGGCCUGGGCAAUCUUUGAACAUCGAUCGUGAUCGGGAUAGAUUCUUGUAAUUUUUGAUCUUAAACGAGGAAUUCCUAGUAAACGCAAGUCAUCAGCUUGCAUUGAUUACGUCCCUGCCCUUUGUACACACCGCCCGUCGCACCUACCGAUUGAAUGGUCCGGUGAAAUCUCCGGACUGGCGUGAGUCGGAGCAAUCUGACAAACACCGGAAAGUUGAUUAAACCUUACCAUUUAGAGGAAGGUGAAGUCGUANCA
rnacentral:rRNA from 1 species